GAUGAAGAACGCAGCGAAAUGCGAUACGUAAUGUGAAUUGCAAAUUCAGUGAAUCAUCGAGUCUUUGAACGCACAUUGCGCCCCCUGGUAUUCCGGGGGGCAUGCCUGUCCUAGCGUCAUUGCUGCCCUCAAGCACGGCUUGUGUGUUGGGCCCCGUCCUCCGAUUCCGGGGGACGGGCCCGAAAGGCAGCGGCGGCACCGCGUCCGGUCCUCGAGCGUAUGGGGCUUUGUCACCCGCUCUGUAGGCCCGGCCGGCGCUUGCCGAUCAACCCAAAUUUUUAUCCAGGUUGACCUCGGAUCAGGUAGGGAUACCCGCUGAACUUAAGCAUAUCAAUAAGCGGAGGA
rnacentral:misc_RNA from 1 species